GAUUCUGGCUCAGAAUGAACGCUGGCGGCAUGAAUUAGGCAUGCAAGUCGAACGGGAUCCUUCGGGAUCCAGUGGCGGAAGGGUGAGUAACACGUGAGCAACCGCCCCAAGGCCGGAACAAGCGCUGGAAACGGCGUCUGAAACCGGAUGAGGACCUCCACCGCAUGGUGGGGCGUCCAAAUAUUCAUACCCUGGGGAUGGGCUCGCGGCCCAUUAGCUUGUCGGCGGGGCGACGGCCCACCGAGGCGACGACGGGUAGGUGGUCUGAGAGGAUGGUCACCCACACUGGGACUGAGACACUGCCCAGACUCCUGCGGGAGGCUGCAGUCGAGAAUCUUCCGCAAUGGGCGCAAGCCCUGACGGAGCGAUGCCGCGUGAGGGACGGAGGCCUUCGGGUCGUGAACCUCUGUCGCCCGGGACGAUGAUGACGGUACCGGGAAAGGAAGCCACGGCUAACCACGUGCCAGCAGCGGC
rnacentral:rRNA from 1 species